ACCUUGCCCCACCCUCUUUCCAUCAUCCCUGAUAUCAUAUAACUAGUAGUUAUAUGGUAUCAGGGAUGAUGGAAAGGGGGUGGGGCAAGCA